rnacentral:rRNA from 1 species
UAGAGAUACCUUAGUGCCUUCGGGAACUGUGAGACAGGUGCUGCAUGGCUGUCGUCAGCUCGUGUUGUGAAAUGUUGGGUUAAGUCCCGCAACGAGCGCAACCCUUAUCCUUUGUUGCCAGCGGUUCGGCCGGGAACUCAAAGGAGACUGCCAGUGAUAAACUGGAGGAAGGUGGGGAUGACGUCAAGUCAUCAUGGCCCUUACGAGUAGGGCUACACACGUGCUACAAUGGCGCAUACAAAGAGAAGCGACCUCGCGAGAGCAAGCGGACCUCAUAAAGUGCGUCGUAGUCCGGAUCGGAGUCUGCAACUCGACUCCGUGAAGUCGGAAUCGCUAGUAAUCGUAGAUCAGAAUGCUACGGUGAAUACGUUCCCGGGCCUUGUACACACCGCCCGUCACACCAUGGGAGUGGGUUGCAAAAGAAGUAGGUAGCUUAACCUUCGGGAGGGCGCUUACCACUUUGUGAUUCAUGACUGGGGUGAAGUCGUAACAAGUAAACCCGUAAACAC